GCAAACUCCGGGACAGAAGCGGGAGAAGAACGUAGGGUGGAAGGGGUAAUCGGAAUUACUGGUCGUAAGGCGUGCGCAGGCGGUUUUGUAAGGCGGACGUGAAGUCCCCGGGCGAAACCUGGGAAUUGCGUUGGAGACUGCAAGGCUGGAGUCUGGCAGAGGGGGGUAGAAUUCCACGUGUAGCAGUGAAAUGCGUAGAGAUGUGGAGGAACACCGAUGGCGAAGGCAGCCCCCUGGGUCAAGACUGACGCUCAUGCACGAAAGCGUGGGGAGCAAACAGGAUUAGAUACCCUAGUAGUC
rnacentral:rRNA from 1 species